rnacentral:lncRNA from 10 species
GCCCACUCCGCCAUUUUCCUCCGGAAGUGUGGCACCCAGAGGCGGUCCUGUAGCUGGGCCGGCUUGGGGCUUGGUUCUAUGUCCCUGUGGGUUGGUGCAAGGGCCAGGAGGAACCCGUGAGCCUCAGGGGAUCCCAGGGGGCCGGACCAGUGUUCCCUAGUUGUGGGAACAGACGCGUGGGCGCAUCGCGGGAGGGCAGGGCCUGAAGAGCAGCUAUGUUUCCAGUGUCCUCUGGGUGUUUCCAAGAGCAACAAGAAACGAAUAAAUCUCUGUUGAAGAGAUACCAUUUGAUAUUUUAGAGAUGCCUGCAUGCAAACUCUUAAAACAUUUGACCAUAGGAGUUUUAGCCAAUUCAGAGGCCUUGCUCCCUACAAUUUGGAACAUUCCUUUGGAUUUGACCAAGUCAGGAAGAGAUGGGAGAAAAGUGAAACAACAACAAUAAAACCCCAAGCAUAAACAAACAAAGAGUUAAGCAAAACAACAAAUGCACAAUUCAUAUGAUUACUGAGUGUUCUAAUGGUAAGGAGAAAUUAAAAGCAGA